UCGUGGUCGGCGCGCGGAACUGAGCGCUUCGAGUCUGUGCACUGUUUCUGCUGCGCGCUCGUUCUGCUCGGCUGGGCUGGAAACGUCGCAGUGUGUGUGCGUGGCCCGCCUGGCGCAAGCGUUGUUGUCGCCUUUGCUGUUAAAAACGCGCCCGCGAGUUGGAUGAAGAAUCGUCUUCUUCGUGCUGCGCCUAUUUGUUUGUUUUGUUUGUGCGGUGGUGAUUGGUGCAGCUGUCGUCGUCAUUCACCUGUGACAUAGACCUUUUUCUUCCUCCGUGGAUCUGUUUCCAGUGGUAUCGCAUCCGGAAAACGAGAUCGUGUGCUGCUGCUGCCACUGGGCAUUGCGCUGCUCUCCGACCUACCUGCCUUCCUGUGUGUGUGUGUGGCUUACGACUGUGCGAGGUCGGUGUCUCCUCCGUUGUUGGGGAAGAAGUGACCGACGGAGCCGAGCGGUAGGAUAUCGUCGGCUUCGUUGAUGACUGCCACUGUGACUUCCCGUCGCACAGUCCGCACUGCGUAUACCUUCAACAGCUCACGACAGGAAACGGCGGCGCCGAUAAGAGGGGCCCCGCGGACACUCCGGAAGUGCGUUGCCGUGAGGCUCGCCACACCGUGAAGACUUCAGCAGAGCAGACGGCAGCGGCGGUAGUAGCUGCAGCCAUGCCGGGUCGCGUCGGCGGCUGCCCCGAGACGAGAAGGCCGGGAGUGGUGCCGGUGGCUCUGCACUAGGCCCUACACGGCCGCAACCCCUCCCUCCGCACCUUACCCCCCAUUUCCCCGUACCUUCCUUCCCGCGCUGCCCCCCCAUCCAUCCAACACUCACGAUGACGUCGAGCUGCCUGGACCUGAGCGCCAAGAUGGCGCCGUGCUUCAUGAGCCGCGACGACUCCCACUUCACGCCGCACGGCUCGCUCCAGCAGCAGCACCAGCAGCAGCCGCACUGGGCGCGGGGCCACCGGCGCACCAAGAGCGCCGGCAACUACGGGCCCCGCGACCUGAGCAUCUACACCACCAUGGGCCUGUACGCGCACCACGGCACCACGCUGCCGCCGCUCGCCCAGUCCGAGUCCACGCUGGCGCUGGCUCCGCUCUACGAGUGGCAGCAGCGGCACCACCAGCUGUCUGGGCUGGGCGGGAGCACCUCGGGUCACCACCAUCUGCACCACGUGCACCACCACCACCCGCUCUCCGAAGUGACGUACAGCAGCGCUGCCGAGUUCGCCAGGGUGGGAGGAGAGCACCGCGGUGAGCGGCUGCUCAUCAGGCCGGACCUCGAUGAGGUGGACCCAAACCUGCGAGAGUGCGGCAUCCUUGGCUGUCGGCCACGCUGGUUACAGCACUUUGCCAACAUCAGAGUUUUUGUGUUUCUGUCGUGCAUGCUGGUUACCCUGCAGCAAGCAUUGUCCACUGGAUAUGUAAAUAGUGUAAUUACCACAAUUGAGAAGAGGUUUGAUAUCCCUAGUCGAGUGUCAGGAGCCAUUUCAAGUUCAUUUGAGAUUGGAAACCUGCUGACCAUUAUUUUUGUGAGCUACCUUGGGAGCCAUAGGCACAUUCCUGUUUGGAUUGGCAAAGGAACCAUUGUAAUGGCAAUCGGAUCUUUUGUCUUCUCGCUUCCGUACUUCAUGGACCAAUCUAACUCUCCGAGUAUUUAUAGGCUUAAUGUCACUCGCAUUGAGGACGAAAACACAUGCCAAAUGCCCACAGCUGCCAUGGUGCCCGAACAUACAAGCAGCCACUUUAUUAACCCGCCCCUGUCACCCGACGCUGAGCAAAGAUGCAUCGAUGGCAGGUCUUCGAAUGCCUUGUAUAUUUUCAUAUUUAUGUGUGCCCAAAUCCUGAUUGGGUGCGGUGGGACACCCAUUUUUACUCUGGGAACAACCUACAUCGAUGACCAUGUUCGGAAGGAGAGCUCUUCCAUGUACAUUGGCUGUAUGUACAGCACAGUGGCCUUCGGCCUGGUGGUGGGCUACCUGCUGGGUGGAUUCCUCCUGUCUCAGCACGAGAAUUCCUUCCUGGGUGGCACCGUGCCGCGAGGCAUCUUUCCUGGCGCCCCCCGGUGGAUCGGUGCCUGGUGGGCUGGAUUCGUCCUCUGUGGCAUCUUUCUCAUGCUGGUUGCAGUGCCUUUCUUCGCAUUCCCCAAAGCCCUGCAGAGAGAGAAAGCACGGCUGAAGCGUGACGAAGAGUACAUUAUGGGAGGAACCAAGAUGGUGGUUCCUGGCAUCAACCAGAAAGUGGAGGUCUGGAAGCCCUCUGGAGUCACAGACCAGCACAACGCUUCCUCUUCUGAGAUUCCACAAAAGCAGAAAUAUGGCCGCGACAUCAAAGACAUCCCAGCAUCCAUGUGGCGGCUGCUGUGUAACCCCAUCUACAUGGUGACUUGCCUUGGCUCCUGUAUGGAGCUGGCCAUUGUCAGUGGCUUUGUUGUCUUCCUGCCCAAAUACCUGGAGACUCAGUUCAACAUCGGCAAGUCGCAAGCCAACGUUUUCACAGGUGGCAUCGCCAUUCCUGGUGCCUGUGUUGGAAUAUUCUUGGGAGGCUAUGUCCUGAAGAAGUUCCAAAUGAGACCGAAAGGGGCCAUUCAAUUUGUGCUCUGCUUCAACCUGCUGUGCAUGGGUCUCUACACACUCCUGUACUUCUUAGGCUGUGAUAACAUCCGCAUGGCUGGUGCCACACUUCCUUACUUUAAUAAUAGCAGUGAGCUGGAUACGUUCCAGGUGAACCUAACAGCCGACUGCAACAUGGGCUGUCGCUGCUCGCCCAACGACAUAGAGCCUGUGUGCGGCCGCAACGGCAUCACAUAUUUCUCGCCCUGCCAUGCAGGCUGUCGACCAGGAGCUGGCCAUGGAUCACACCUCAACUACACGUCAUGUGCCUGCAUCGUGCCUAAUGUGACCAUGAACCCUGAAGUGACAGCCGUGCCACUGGCGACCAGCGGGCCGUGUCCACAGCCGUGUUUGGCAUUCAUCCCGUUCAUGGUGCUUCUGUUUGCCAUGACUCUGGUGGUCUCCAUCACGCAGAUGCCACUGCUCAUGAUAAUACUACGAUCUGUUGGAGAAGAAGAGAGGUCCUUUGCAUUGGGAAUGCAAUUUGUAAUAUUUAGGCUAUUUGGUUACAUCCCAGCACCAAUAAUGUUUGGUAAUGUGAUAGAUUCGUCCUGUAUCCUUCGAAAGGCUCACUGUGGCAAGCCGGGGGGCUUCUGCUUAGUCUACGACAUUGAGCAGUUUCGACUGAGGUACAUUGCCGUCUGCUCUGGCCUCAAAGUGGCCGCUGGGCUACUGUUCUUCCUCGACUGGCUCCUGAUCACGUGGCGGCACAAGCGCGAACUCAAGGAGGCUCCACCCAUGACGGUUGGAGAAAUCGUCUCCUCCAUCAUCUCGCUGGACCGUCUUUCCGCACUUGGCUGGGGCGAGGGCGAGCAGAAGGAAGACGUCCUCCCACUGGGGAACUGUGCAGAGGAAAUCGUAGACGGCGGCAACGAGAAUGCGGUCCACUCGGGCACCGAGCAUGAAGAGAAAGAGCGGCAUUGUCAGCCGCUGCUCAGGAGCAGCACAGCUCAGCCCGGCCCAUCAGAACUGGUCUGCUAGCUUGACUAGUAUGGUGUGUAACUGUGUACGAGUCAUGCAGCGAGUGCUGAGUCAUCCUCAGCCUCAUAUGAACAUACAUGACAGGCCGACAAAUAAGGUUAGAGCCUCGACCUAUGCCCUGCCGCCGCCACGGGUGCUUCGACUGAAACCAUAACGGAAGCUGAGCUGGACUUGCAUGCUUAUCAACUGCCUUUCGGUGAUGGAAAAAAAAAAUGGCUGCAGCUCUCUUCAGCUAGGCCGUAUUACAAUUUUCCAGAAACCCCCCGCCCCCUCUCUCCUUUGGCGCACGGAGAGCAUACGAUAAGGUUGUUGGCUCAGCACUCGGCCUGUCGUGUAUCGGCAACUCGCCCCAGGUUCCGGAUGAAACCGACCAUCUCUUGGUUCUGCUAGCUACAAACUACAGACUUGGCAUGUGGUGUGAAUUUUGUGCAAGCACGUGUAGGAGCCAUCAGACCGUCGACGACACCGCUGGUAACAGAACAUGCGCCUACUAACAUUGCGGGCCUUGUUUCUUGCCCUCCUGAAAAUGAAAACGACGAUAACCACUGCAUCCAGAGUGGCUCGUUGCAGCCUCAGGAUGUAGGAACCACUGUUCACAACAUGUGCAGGUAAUAUGCAGACCUUAGAAGUGCCUACAGUGCUACCUUCGAGAUUUGAUGGCGUUUCCGAAAUGACAAGUUUCAAGUCAGCGUCGCAUCGAAAGCUGCUAAACAACCAUGCAUUCACAGCAGCAGAUCAUACCUGCUAUCACCUCUUCAUUUUCUUUUCUUUUUUCUGCGUUGAAGUGAUCGUUUGCCAACGUUAGCCUAUUGAGAUUGUUUUCCUUGCGCAUGGUGACAGUGCUGUUUUUGGUGCAUAACUUGUCAUCUGCAUCACAUUGUACAUAUAUUAUCAGGUGGGGAGAAUACCUGCAUGUUGGUAGUAACGCACUUCCAUUGGUAAUGACAGGCUUUUUUUUUUUCUCCUAUCCUUGUUCAGACAUCUUGCAUUUACAAAAUGACUCUUUCCACACCAUUGCAUUUUCUUGUAAAGUUUUUGUUUCUCACUUGUAAACUGCUAUGGCCGUCUUUUCUUUGUGCACUAAAGGGACAUUAACAUAAUGACCCAAUUUAAGCUGGCAGAUUAUCGCUUCAAAAUUCUAAUGUGCUAUUCCUUGGUAGAAGAAAAAUACUAUUGUGAAAACAGAGGACAAUCUCGUUUUCUUGAAUUCAGUACCCAAAUAAUGGCACUGAUGGCUUCAUGAAACCACUGAUAUCGCAGCAUUUUUUUAUAUUUGUGCCUUUAAGCAGGAAGAGUUCGCAGAAUUUGCCAUGUUGGUUCUUGGUAUUUUCUAAUGCAAUUGACUCAUUUCUGCCAACAAGCAGUUACCUAGGCCUAACCAGAUACUACCACAAUCUAUGACGUUACAUGUAGCCCAUUCGAUAAUUUCAAAGUUGUACCUUCGCAUUAUUAAUUUUUUUCCACAGCAAGCCUUUGCUCAUAGCAGGACCGACACAUUCACAAUACAAGCAGUGUAAUCCUCCAAUCUAGCUGAAAUCAAUAUUCUCUUUAAUGUCCGUUUAAGGUCUCCAUUUUUGUCGUUAUUAUUGGCACGUUUAUUCUGGCCAAGUUAUUUCGAGUCGCCUUCCCAAACACUAGACGACAGUAACAAUACCGAAUUGAUGUUAUAAAAAUUGUUUAUUUCAAAAUGAAAUUUGCUUUGCGACUUCCUUUGCUGAAAAAACAAGUUGCAUACAUUCUUGGCUUUUCAGAAAGUGAGACGCUAGUUUUUUUCACUGCACACUCGACACAUCACUACCACCAGCAUUAGGGGUAAUUUGUAACAUUCUAUUUCAUUUUUCUAUACACCCUUUUCUAAUUUGUAAGUGCAGCUUGUCUGCACUAAACAUGUGCUAAACUAAUGGCAGCACCAGUCAUCGUUCAAACGAAGACUAAGUUCUACCUGCACAUGCUGGGGCUUGCCUCUCGCUCAUGGUUUCGUCAUGAGAGCCACGUCUACGUUUUCCAUGUCAUAAUAUAAGCAAGCUGUACACACGCUGUAUGCAAAACUGACUUAAGCAGUCAUUAGUAGGGCAAACUGCCUUGCAGGAAAGCUAGCUUUACAAUUAUGAAAAGGGUCUAAGUGAUAACAGCAACACAGCAGCAGCAACCAUGCUAUAUUCAUGUCAAUUACAAAAGGCAAAAAGAAUGGAAAGUGAAAUGGAUCGUUAACAAAAUACAGCCCAAGUUCAAAGUUCUCCAUGCAAAGACGCAACAGCCGCACCAGCUAGCCUGAUAUUGUUGCCUUAUAUACUGUCACAAUUUCGAUGAAGUGGCACUUUACCUGUGUUAGACUUGUUAAGUUGCACCACUUGAUUUUUUUUCUUUUUUUUUUCUUAUAACGCAAGAGGGUUAAUGAAUUGCUGCUCUUGCUAUGUUUCUGAAUCGUUCUGUGCUUCCUGGCACGUUUUUCAUUACAGCUGAGAACCAGCGCAGGUUUUAUGUGGCUUCCAUUUUAUGAAUUAGUAUUCUUCCCUGGUUGAAAUAUCUAUGGCUUUUACAGCUAAUCUUCCUAAGGUCAUGUCUUGUUCUAAACGGUUCAGUGGACCAGAUGAACUGCCCAUGUGUGCGUGUGUGCAGCAUAUCCCGUCAUUUACCCUUAUCUUUCUUUCACGUUUUGAUAAGAGUUGUAAAGCUACUAUUUAGUGUUCUUUUGUCAAAGGGUCACAUAUUGACUUGAACUUUAUAGAAGUCUGUUAUAUAUUUAUUUUUUCUUGCACCUGUGGCAAUAGCAUUUCUUCUUGGCAUAAUCUGUGGGAUGCUGUAAGGUGAACAUUUUACUCUUUAUAAAUGACAGCAUAAUCAUUGCAUUGACAAAUACUUCACUCAGAAUAUUGUUUGUCACCUCCACAGCGUGCAACCUCUGGAAUGCCUGUGCUUGCAUUCAUUGUAUCUGAUCUGAUAUCUGUAGCAGAAAAAUACUUGCAUUCACUGCAUGUUUUAUUUAUCGUGUUUCAAGCACCUGUAAUUAGAACUGAUUGCAACAACAAAGGCUACCAGGUGUUUGUUUCUUAAUUUAAGAAUGUUGACGUUGUAACAUCAAUGACGUCAAUUUAAACUUUUUGUUCUGAGAGGAACAUACUCCCAUAUAACUGCUGUUUUCUCCUCUUACAUUAUUAGCAGUAAUGAAAGCUAUGCCCAGAACUGCAUCUACAUAAAGCUUAUAACUGAAAAAUAUAUAUUCCAUGGAGGCUUAGAAAAAAGAAGACAGCCUUUAGAACCUUUAGGUUAACUCAGCUCACCCCAUUUUUUCCGCAUCGUGUGUACGACAUGUCAUAGAUAAGGCAAUUUCUUUUCUUGACCGUUAUCAAUUUGCACGUGUCCUGUUUCGUACACUGUAUACAAAACAAACUUCACUUGUACUGAGCAGGUAACAUUUGCACUCAGUGUUAUCACAAAUUGCAUUGAUGAGUUUAUUCACAAUUCCACUUCUAUUUUUGAACACAGUUCUAUUAAUGACUCCUUAUACAUAGCGCACAUUUAACGACCAUUGGAACCUGUGACCAUUGAAAUCCGCGAAAUUCCAUUGGAUGUGUUCCGUUGGAUCAUGUAGCUGACCCCACAGCGCUCGAUGGUUUGAAAGGUUAUUUGUUACAGUGGUCGUUGAAGGUGUUAUGUGAUAUGGGUGUAUGGCUUGAUGUUGUCAAUAGUCAAUGCCAGUAUCAUGCAUCGUAAUGCAAACUCAUGAUGAGGAGUUGCUUCACUGGUAAGAGUUUUCUUCUUUUUUUUUUACAAGAAAACUUAAACCAUAUGAUCACUCUAUGGCCUGAAACACUAACGACUUGAUGGAAUCUCAGUGGUCAGAGUGAACAAUCCUGAAGUCGUGUUCAAGUGCAUAUGUGAUACAGUGUAAAAUAUUGUCACAGGUGGCUCUUGCCUUUCGUAAUGUAUAUAGAUGUAUGUUAUAGAUGAGAUAUUUUGACAGAGCUAAGAUUUAGGACUUUCUUCUAGAGUGUGACAAGUUUGUGCACUAAGCCCUUGAUGAGAGGGUAAAUGAACCACGCGUUCUUGCAAACAAUGGCAAUAUCCAUGUGCUGAGCACAUGAACCUAGCUUGUGGGCCCUACUGGGUGCACUUAAAGCAUCCUUCACCUCUUUAGUCUUGAAUGGUGCUUGGCCCAGCAAUAGAUUUGAGCACUGCACACAUAUGGCUUUCAAUUCAAAUCAAGCAGCUGUCAUUGCACAGGAAAGGGGGCCUGUAUUGGCCAAUGUUGGUCCUACAUUGGACAAUGCUAACUCCUCUUCAAGCCAUGCUGGCCCAGUGAUGGGAUGACAUCAGCUGCUAUUGGCCCCCUUCUAUGCUGCUAGGAACAUCAACAAAAAAAAAUGAAAUCACACUCUUCAGGGUGCACUGCGUUUAGUAUUUUCUGUGCAAGGCAUUGUUUGUAAAGGGAAGGAAAAGAAACGUAAAAAAAAAAAGUCCACAAUCAGUGUACGCAUACAUUGAAAACAUUCUAGAGGUAAGUUACGUAUAAUAAAAGUUAAAGUUAUGCAAGUCAGAGAUAAGGAGGGAGCUUUCAUGUUAGUAGUCAUAGGAAUCAUUUCUGUGUGCACUAACUAAGAAUAAAGAGAAGCACAAGCCAGAGACACCCUCUUACAGUUAGCUUUUGGUUUUUGUGAAUAGGGUAAUGAGAAGAGAUGAUUACGACAUAUAUUUGAGAAAUAGUCUCUGCUGUGCCUCCAUCAUAUCAUUAAAGUUAGUUGUUUCUUGUCUUGUGGUCCUUUGUAUUGGGUAGAGAACUAUACAGAAUACCCUUGCAUUGGUAAACUUUUUUGCACUCAUGAUUAUCUUUAGGAGAAACAGUGUCAGAUCAAGAUUUGCAAGUAACCACACAUCUGCAUUCUGAUAUAAUCCACUUUCUUAGCGUACCCUUUUGAUAAGUUGAACUAAAUUUACAAAAGGUGUGAUCCGCGGUCUGGUCCCACUUCUACUCUAUAUUGGGCGCGUAAUGAAGCUGCGUAUAACUACAGCCUUCAAUGCAGAAAGUGGAAGUAAAGGAAUGUGUUGUUAAGUCCACGCAGUUGCUGAGAAAGUGUUCAAUUAACAAGCGCGUCUUUUCUGAAGAUACCGUAGACGAAGUUGGCCAAUAUAACGCCAUGCAUCAAAACGUUCACGUUGGAAGAGCAACUACUUUGUUUAAUCUCAUUACUCUUGCCUAAAACUGUGAAGCACUGUCUUCCUGCCUUAUGAUUCAGGGCUUCUUAAAGCAUGCAGUUAACAGACUUCUAACAAUAGGUGAAAUUACUUUAGUGGUAAAUAUUUUUCUGGUUUUGCCAGUUGUACGGCAGCAAGAUUAUCACUGUAUCAUGCACCGUCCUGUACAGGAAACGUUUGACACCAAGUGGUGUGGUUAUACAUGAUACCUUCAGUAGCUUGCCUUUUUUAUGUCUUUUUCCAUGUUCAAUGAACUUUUGGGGCAGAAGAGCUUGGCAGGAUAAAAUCAACAAUGGACACCAGCGACAACAGAGAGCUUUUAGUGCUAUGCACCAACUAUUUUUCAACAGUUCUAACAGACUGCAACAAGCAUGUUUUGCAUGAUACCAUUUUGAUAAACAAAAAAAAAAGAAA